rnacentral:rRNA from 1 species
AGUGAACGCUGGCGGUAGGCCUAACACAUGCAAGUCGAACGGCAGCACAGUAAGAGCUUGCUCUUACGGGUGGCGAGUGGCGGACGGGUGAGGAAUAAAUCGGAAUCUACUUUUUCGUGGGGGAUAACGUAGGGAAACUUACGCUAAUACCGCAUACGACCUACGGGUGAAAGCAGUGGAUCUUCGGACCUUGCGCGAUUGAAUGAGCCGAUGUCGGAUUAGCUAGUUGGCGGGGUAAAGGCCCACCAAGGCGACGAUCCGUAGCUGGUCUGAGAGGAUGAUCAGCCACACUGGAACUGAGACACGGUCCAGACUCCUACGGGAGGCAGCAGUGGGGAAUAUUGGACAAUGGGCGCAAGCCUGAUCCAGCCAUACCGCGUGGGUGAAGAAGGCCUUCGGGUUGUAAAGCCCUUUUGUUGGGAAAGAAAAGCAGCAGGUUAAUACCCCGCUGUUCUGACGGUACCCAAAGAAUAAGCACCGGCUAACUUCGUG